GGGUGGAAAGUGCACGGGAAACGGUGCCGCCCGCCCGCCGUGCUAACCCCCCUCUGUUCCUUCCAGCAUUGGCGGGAGUCGCGGCCAUGCGGGAGAAGCGCCUCGGAAGAGGGCAGCGAGCCCCGCCGGGAGUGGAGAACGAGGGACGCGCGGGCAGCAGGCGGGGGGCGGACUCCGCGCGGCUCGCCCACCACGGGACGCACGGCCGGCGGCGGCGCGCGGCCCGCCCUGAGCCCGGGAGGGCGGGGAGACAAUACCCGCUCGGCGGGGCAGUCCAGGCCGCUCGCCACCGCUCGCCCCCGCCCGCCGGACACGGGCUGCUCCUCCCCGGCCGAAGGGCAGCGGAGGGAAGGCGCCGGGAGCGAUUGCCAGACUGACCCCGCGCGGCGCGGAAGGCCCGGAGUGCCCGCUCCCCCGCCCACCUCCGCGUGCGCUCCGACCCGGCGAGUCCCGGGGCCGCAGACCCACCUCCUCCUCCAGGGUGCCUCCGGAGCCUGAGCCCGCGCCGGUGCCCGUGCUGGUGCUGUGCUCGCCGUCCGGCUUCAGGCUGCUCAUGCGGUUGGAGCGCAGCAGCCCCAAUCCCGGGGAGGUACCGGAAAACUGAGCCAGUCCCCGACGCCUCUGACCUCGAGCUGCGCCCCCGGAGAUCCCUGCGGAAGGGUCCAUAGGGAUUUGGGAAGACACUGCCCAGAGGAAGCCAAAGGUCACUGAGAAUGCCACUCUGACCUGCCUCCCUGCCUGAGCUGCAGGUCUUCUGGAGCCUGGGAGGGGACCUCCAGGCCAGACGAACUCUGCAGAAUUGCCCAGCAUGCCCAGGAAUUGGUCCCACUGGGCAGAGUUUCCAGGAGAGACCAAGGGGCUGAAAUUGAAAGUAGGAAUGGUUGCACUUGGGUCCAGUGAGGCAAGUGACAGUCGUUUGCGGUUUGGGGCUCUGCAUGGAAUGGGGUGGAGUUGGGUAAAGAGGGGAGAUAACCUGGCUCUACCCUCAGCACUGAAGGUGAAGAGUGCCCUCCAUCUUUACGGUGUUUAUAAGGAGAAGGGAGUAGCUGCUCUCAUUCUCUUUAAGGCCUUAAGGAUUGAAGGAAGCAGUAGGGGUGGAAAGCAAUGCCUAAUCCAUAGGCUUUCCCUGUGGUGGGUGUUGUGGCUUUGCGAGUCAUAGAAUCUGUGUUAGGAGAGGCCCUAGAAGUUAUCCAAGCCACUGGACCUUAUUCUUGGCUGCAGACCAGAAUUGCCUUUUGAAAAAGACAGAUGCCUUGGGCCCAUCUGAAAAGUACUACAUCCAAAUCUCUGGGGCAGACCUCGGGAACUACCUUGUACCCCAGCAGCUAGAAUCCCAGGACCUGAAUCCAACUGUCUGCAUCAAAUACUUGAAUCCCUACCAAAAGCUAAUCUGCCUGAACUUGGGGAAAAGCAACUCAUUACCACACACCCCCACCCCCGAGAAUUGCUCAUUGCACUAUAACACCUCCAGCAUUACUUAAUAGCAAUAUCAUCAUCAAAAAAUGAUUAGAGAUCCCAAACCAAGAAACUACUAUUCCGGGAAAGAAUCAAAGCAUUAAAUUUCUUAUGUUAACUCUGCAAAAUAGUCCAGAAAACUGACAAGAAACUUAGUGUCUCA